rnacentral:rRNA from 1 species
ACAGCAGCCGCCACGGUAAUACAGAGGGUGCGAGCGUUAAUCGGAUUUACUGGGCGUAAAGCGUGCGUAGGCGGCUUUUUAAGUCGGAUGUGAAAUCCCUGAGCUUAACUUAGGAAUUGCAUUCGAUACUGGGAAGCUAGAGUAUGGGAGAGGAUGGUAGAAUUCCAGGUGUAGCGGUGAAAUGCGUAGAGAUCUGGAGGAAUACCGAUGGCGAAGGCAGCCAUCUGGCCUAAUACUGACGCUGAGGUACGAAAGCAUGGGGAGCAAACAGGAUUAGAUACCCGUGUAGUCCCUGUCUCUUAUAC